rnacentral:rRNA from 1 species
GACGAACGCUGGCGGCGUGCCUAAUACAUGCAAGUCGAGCGCAGGAAAUCGACGGAACCCUUCGGGGGGAAGUCGAUGGAAUGAGCGGCGGACGGGUGAGUAACACGUAAAGAACCUGCCCUCAGGUCUGGGAUAACCACGAGAAAUCGGGGCUAAUACCGGAUGGGUCAUCGGACCGCAUGGUCCGAGGAUGAAAGGCGCUUCGGCGUCGCCUGGGGAUGGCUUUGCGGUGCAUUAGCUAGUUGGUGGGGUAAUGGCCCACCAAGGCGACGGUGCAUAGCCGAGCUGAGAGGGUGAUCGGCCACACUGGGACUGAGACACGGCCCAGACUCCUACGGGAGGCAGCAGUAGGGAAUCUUCCACAAUGGACGAAAGUCUGAUGGAGCAACGCCGCGUGAACGAUGAAGGCCUUCGGGUCGUAAAGUUCUGUUGUAAGGGAAGAACAAGUGCCGCAGGCAAUGGCGGCACCUUGACGGUACCUUGCGAGAAAGCCACGGCUAACUACGUGCCAGCCGCCGCGGUAACAC